rfam:Brachypodium distachyon strain Bd21 chromosome 2, whole genome shotgun sequence.
UAGGUACUCCCUCCGUCCCAAAUUAAGUGUCGAAAUAGUACAUGUAUCUAGACGCUUUUUAUGUAUAGUUACAUUCAUAUUUGGACAAAUUUGAGACACUUAAUAUGGGACGGAGGGAGUAGCAU